rnacentral:rRNA from 1 species
GAUGAACGCUGGCGGCGUGCCUAAUACAUGCAAGUCGAGCGAACAGACGAGGAGCUUGCUCCUCUGACGUUAGCGGCGGACGGGUGAGUAACACGUGGAUAACCUACCUAUAAGACUGGGAUAACUUCGGGAAACCGGAGCUAAUACCGGAUAAUAUAUUGAACCGCAUGGUUCAAUAGUUAAAGACGGUUUUGCUGUCACUUAUAGAUGGAUCCGCGCCGCAUUAGCUAGUUGGUAAGGUAACGGCUUACCAAGGCGACGAUGCGUAGCCGACCUGAGAGGGUGAUCGGCCACACUGGAACGGAGACACGGUCCAGACUCCUACGGGAGGCAGCAGUAGGGAAUCUUACGCAAUGGGCGAAAGCCUGACGGAGCAACGCCGCGUGAGUGAUGAAGGUCUUCGGAUCGUAGAACUCUGUUAUUAGGGAAGAACAAAUGUGUAAGUCACUAUGCACGUCUUGACGGUACCUAAGCAGAAAGCCACGGCUAACUACGUG